AUGUUGGUAUCUUAGUGGCGGACGGGUGAGUAACGCGUGGGUAACCUGCCUUACACUGGGGGAUAACACUUAGAAAUAGGUGCUAAUACCGCAUAACAGGGAAAGAUGCAUGUCUUUUCCUUAAAAACUCCGGUGGUGUAAGAUGGACCCGCGUCUGAUUAGCUUGUUGGCGGGGUAACGGCCCACCAAGGCGACGAUCAGUAACCGGCCUGAGAGGGUGAACGGCCACAUUGGGACUGAGACACGGCCCAAACUCCUACGGGAGGCAGCAG
rnacentral:rRNA from 1 species